UUGUCAUAUGGAUAGAGAAUAAAGUCAUUUGCUAUGAUUUUAAUGAUAGGGCAUGGAAACCACUUUAUGAUCUAAGACCCGGAGUCACCGAUGGCUCGUGGGAUGGCUAUUAUUAUAGGGGUUUUAUUUUUCCUUAUCAAAGUCUUCAUGCCUUUCAGUACUUUGAGAACCUGUCUUCUGUUUGAGGUUGUAUCUCCAAUUUGGUCCUUUUUUGAUGGAACGGAGGUUCGGAUUUUGUACUUUUACAUGGAAUACCCAGGUAGAGAGAAGAUUUACUUGAAUAUCAGGACAGGAAGGAUCCGAAAUCAUUUUGUUGGUCGAGAUUCAUGCAUAAUCUUAUAGUAUGGUACACGGUUGGUUGCUUUUUCUUUCGAGACCUCAAUCUGGCUUUUCUGUUGAACUUCAGUUUUGGAGUAGUUUUCUUUCCAUGAUACUGUUGUUGAAUAUAUUUUUGAUUAUGGGAAACGUAGCAAUCAAGAAGUAUAGUAUCAUCAUCAUGGAAUAUUACUAUCAAAACUGAAAUAAUUUGAUUCUUUUUUAGUUUUGAUGGUUUGAAAAUGGAACUUGCUAUGGAAGUUCAAUCUCCACGGAAAACUACGUACGAAAUUGUUGUUCAAAGAUUUGGGGUUUCAGUUCUAACCUAAUUUAAACUGUAAAGAAAAAAACAAUGUUGUUGAGAUCGGAUUGGACCAACUGAUUAGAUCAAGAAUCGGUUGGUAUGUCAGCACGAAGAACUGAUGAUGAUUGAGCAAGGGGAAUGGCAAGGGUUUGAAUUUGUCUCAUCUAAAUAUAUUUUUCUGGUAAGGGUC